AUGAACAAACCAGAGCAAUGGGAUUAUGUAAAUAAAUCCUUGGGUUAUGGUUCGAGGACAAAUCCUACUUCGGAGGGGAUGAAACAAGUACUAAACCUUAGUUACAGCAAUCUUCCUGAGCAUAUGAAGGCAUGUGUGAUGUAUCUCGGUAUAUAUCAAGAGAACUACAUAAUUCAGAAGGAUGAUUUGGUAAAGCAAUGGAUAGCCGAAGGUUUUAUCCGUGCAACAGAAGAGAAAGACAAGGAAGAAAUAUCAAGGAACUAUUUCAAUGAGCUUAUCAGUAGCAGAAUGAUCCAACCUGUACAUAUAAAUGACAACGAUGAUGUUCUGUCAUGCAGUGUGCAUUAUAUGGUACUUGAUUUUGUCUCACGCAAGUCCACAGAAGAGAAUUUUGUCACCACAAUAGAUCAUUAUCAGACAACUGCAAGACUAGCCGACAAGGUCCGUCGACUGUCUCUUCACUUUGGUAAUGCAGAAGCAACACCACCAGCAAAUAUGAGCCUAUCCCAAGUUCGAACUCUUGCGUUUUUUGGGGUCUUCAAGUGUUUACCUUCCAUUGUCGAGUUUGGGCUUCUUCAAGUUCUAAUCCUACAUCUUUGGGGUGAUGAUGAGAGCAUUUGUUUUGAUCUCACUAGAAUAUGUGAGCUUUUUCGGCUGAGAUACUUGCAUGUCACAUCCAAUGUCACCUUAGAAGUACAACAAACCCAGAUCCGAGGUCUACAAUAUUUGGAAUCACUGAAAAUAGAUACAGGAGUAAGUGCAGUCCUAUCAGACAUUGUUCAUUUGCCCAGCUUGUUGCACCUCAGUCUUCCCGUUGGGACAAAUCUACCGAACGGUAUUGGUCAAAUGACAUCCCUUUGCACACUCGGAUAUUUUGAUCUAUGUGCUACUUCAGUAGAGAAUGUGCACAGCCUCGGCGAGCUGAAAAGUCUCUGGGAUCUCCGGUUCACCUGUUCAACAGUGCAUUCUUGUCAUCUAAAGAGCAAAAUGGAUAGUGUGGGCUCCAUUCUUGCGAAACUCAGCAACCUCAGGUCUCUAACUCUGAAGCCUUCAAGUAUUCUGGAUGCUGGGCCUUCCAGCAUUAGCAUUUCGUGUGAUGGAUUGAGCAGUGUACCCUCUCCUCCGGCGUUUCUUCAAAGAUUUGAGUGGUCGCCAAGUAUUUGCACCUUCUCCAGCCUCCCCAAGUGGAUCAGACAUCUCGACAAGCUCUGCAUCUUAAAGAUUGGGAUUACUGAACUAGCGUGGGAGGAUGUUGAUGUUCUCAGAGGAUUGCCUGCGCUCACUGUUUUGUCGUUGUACGUCCGGGCAAAGCCCGUGGAAAGGAUUGUCUUCAAUAAGACAGGAUUCUCAGCUCUGAAGUACUUCAAGCUCUGGUGCAGUGUACCUUGGCUAGAAUUUGAGGUGGAUGCAAUGCCUAAUCUCCGGAAACUGAAACUAGGUUUUGAUGUCCAUGGAGCAGAUAAGCUUGGACCUGUUGGCAUCGAGCACUUGUCAAGCCUUAAGGAGAUCUCAGUGAAAAUUGGGGGUGUCUCUACCGAUGACCCUGAUAGAAGGGCUGCAGAAUCGGUGUUGAGUCAUGCCAUAAAUAUGCAUCCAACACGUCCCAUCUCCAACAUACAGUGUGUAGAUGGGAUGUUCACUAGUAAGGAUGAUAAGAAUAGUGGAGUAGAGCUGCAAAAACAAUAUAAGAUCAUCGAUGAUGACGCAGUUGAACAGAGUGUAGUCCUUCAAAUGGGCUCCAGUGAAGAUGCUCAGAGCAGGUAUGGACAGUGA
rnacentral:rRNA from 1 species